AGCAGCCGCGGUAAUUCCAGCUCCAAUAGCGUAUAUUAAAGUUGUUGCAGUUAAAAAGCUCGUAGUUGAACUUCGGGGUCUACCCAUCGGUCAGGCUUAAUUGUCUGUACUGGUGAGAUGGAUCUCUACCUUCUGAGGAACUUUCAUGCCAUUUAUUUGGUGUGAUUGAAAAUCAGGACUGUUACUUUGAAAAAAUUAGAGUGUUUAAAGCAGACUAUCGUCUGAAUACAUUAGCAUGGAAUAAUGAAAUAGGACGGACUGAUUCUAUUUCGUUGGUUUCUAGGAUCACCGUAAUGAUUAAUAGGGAUAGUUGGGGGCAUUAGUAUUCAAUUGUCAGAGGUGAAAUUCUUGGAUUUAUUGAAGACUAACUACUGCGAAAGCAUUUGCCAAGGAUGUUUUCAUUAAUCAAGAACGAAAGUUAGGGGAUCGAAGACGAUCAGAUACCGUCGUAGUCUUAACCAUAAACUAUGCCGACUAGGGAUCGGACGAAGUUAAUUUUANAAUUGACGCGUUC
rnacentral:rRNA from 1 species